AUGGCGACUGAACCUCUCCAUGACAAUGUGGACAAUGUCGCAGCAACUGACGAAAGUGAUUCCUCUUCCCAGCAGCAACUCACCGUGUACAACUACGACCUGAGUGGUCCACAGUCCAAAGUUCUUUCCCCAGCAAACCAAGAGAGCACAUAUCUGCUUGGUGGAAUCACCGACCCUGGGUUGUGCAGUAACAAAAGCAGCCUUGGACAAAACCAAUUUCAGAUUUCUCCAGGGAGUAGCCCUGAGCACCGCCAGAUAAGAUCAAACGAUGCUCUUCACUACAUAAGCCAGAUGCUGAUGGAAGACGUCGACGAGAGGGUCAACAUAUGCCAAGGGGAGGCUGCUCUCCAGGAUGCUGAGAAGCCAUUUCGUGACAUUCUUGGGGAGGUAUGCGAAUCGGCUACUAACUGGCCGCCAUUGCAUACCAACAACAAACCAGACGACUCUCAUAAGAGUGGGACCAGCCGUUACAAGAGGCUUUGGACCACUAGCUUCAGUAAUGACUAUUCCAGUUACAAUGUGAUACAGCCCUUAGCAACCCCGUUGAGUCCAUAUAUGUAUAAUAGGAGUCUUUUUCUACCAAACCAGCCGUUGACAAGUCUUGGAUGCGCUUCCAGAUCUGACUUCUCUGCCAUGCAUUGUCAGAGAGGUGUCGAGGAGGAAAACAGGUUUGCUGCAAGUAUUGUUAAGCUGAUGAUAUAUUUAAAGAACGACAUACUUUAUAUUUCCCAACUGACUACAAAGGCAAAAGUAGGAAAAAUGAGCGAAAACGCAAUCUUUGAGGUGGCUGACCAAAGGGGCUGGGAUACCUUUCAAGGAAGGAGCAAUAAACAUCAUGCCAUCACCACUUGUGCAAUAAUUCGAAAUGAAAAUUUCGACCGAGUUCUGCUAUGCUAUGGUCAGAAGAGUUUAGAUGGAAUAACAAGACUGCGAGAAAGGAUGGCGGGGGAAGGAAACAAAAACUCACUGAAAAGCCGGAGCAAAGGGCGUAAGAAGUUAUGGGUUAGGAAGCAACCGAGGAAAGAGUUGGUUGAUCUCAGGACUCUCCUCAUCCAUUGCGCAGAAGCUAUGGCAAAAGACAACCACCUGUUGGCCAAUGACCUCUUAAAGAAGAUAAGACGACACUCCUCAGCAGAUGGUGAUUGUACUCAGAGACUGGCAUUUUACUUGGUGGAUGGCCUUGAGGCACGCUUGGCUGGGAUCGGGAGUCAGGUUUAUCGCAAUCUCGUGGAAAGGCGAACAAGUACCACAGAUUGGCUAGAGGCUUACAGCCUUUUUCUUGAAGCUUGCCCUUUCAAAAGGGUGUCAUACAACUUUGCCAACCAAACUAUUCUUGAUGUCUCACAAAGGCAACCAAGGGUGCACAUCGUCGAUUAUGGCAUCAGCUUCGGCUUUCAGUGGCCAUCAAUGAUUCAGAGGUUUGCACGGCGAGAAGAGGGAGCCCCUAGGCUUCGGAUCACAGGUAUAGAAGCUCCCCAGCCAGGUUUUCGCUCCUGCCAAAUGAUCGAGGAGACAGGGAAGCGGUUAGCUGAUUAUGCAAACAUGUUCAAGGUACCAUUUCAGUAUCAGGGCAUUGCCACUUCAAGAUGGGAGACCAUUAAAAUUGAGGAUCUUAACAUUGAGGAGGAUGAAGUUCUCGUAAUCAACUGCAUAUUCCGAAUGAAGAAUCUUGGUCAUGAAACCGAAUCCAUAAAUAGCGCAAGGGAUGAGGUGCUGAAAAUUAUGAGGAGGAUGAACCCAAAGGUUUUUAUUUCUGGCACCAUGAAUGGUUUACACAGUUCUCCCUUCUUCAUACAACGAUUCAAAGAGGUUAUGCUCCAUUACUCUUCAAUGUUUGAUAUGCUUGAUGCAAAUGUUCCACGGGAUAAUGAAGCAAGAGAGAUGAUUGAGAGGAUCAUAUUUGGGCGGGAUGCACUUAACAUCAUAGCAUGCGAGGAUGCAGAAAGGACUAGGCCAGAAAGUUACAGGCAGUGGCAAGCAAGGUUUCUCAAGGCUGGGUUCCAGCAGCUUCCUGUCGAGCAAGCUGUCUUAGAGAAAAUAAUCGCGGUUGGCUGCUACAAGGAUGGAAAGGGAGAGCGGGAGGAGAUAGGGGGAUAUAAGGCGUGGGCCGGAAUUGGCUUGGCGGCUAGGGUAAAAGGGUGGGGAGAGAAGAGAGGCCGAGAGAGUGUUGCGGUGGCGGCUGUCCUUCUUCGAUUCGAGCGGCCCCUUUUCUCUGAUUCCAGUAGCGGCUGUGGCGAUCCUCCUCCUCCUCCUCCUAUGUGCUCCUGCAGUUAA
rnacentral:rRNA from 1 species